rnacentral:pre_miRNA from 1 species
UUUUUAGCAUAAGUAUGUUCUAUGUGAUAUUUGGGAUGUACUUAUGCUGAAA